rnacentral:rRNA from 1 species
AACGAACGCUGGCGGCAUGCCUAACACAUGCAAGUCGAACGAGACCUUCGGGUCUAGUGGCGCACGGGUGCGUAACGCGUGGGAACCUGCCCUUAGGUUCGGAAUAACUCCCCGAAAGGGGUGCUAAUACCGGAUAAUGUCUUCGGACCAAAGAUUUAUCGCCUUUGGAUGGGCCCGCGUUGGAUUAGCUAGUUGGUAGGGUAAAAGCCUACCAAGGCGACGAUCCAUAGCUGGUCUGAGAGGAUGAUCAGCCACACUGGGACUGAGACACGGCCCAGACUCCUACGGGAGGCAGCAGUGGGGAAGAUUGGACAAUGGGCGAAAGCCUGAUCCAGCAAGGCCGCGUGAGUGAUGAAGGCCUUAGGGUUGUAAAGCUCUUUUACCCGGGAUGAUAAUGACAGUACCGGGAGAAUAAGCUCCGGCUAACUCCGU